AGAUGAGGCAAGGUUUUUCUUUCAACAACUUAUAUCAGGAGUGAGUUAUUGUCAUUCAAUGCAAAUUUGCCACAGAGAUCUUAAGCUUGAAAACACAUUGUUAGACGGGAGCUCUACACAAUGUCUAAAAAUAUGCGAUUUUGGCUAUUCUAAGUCAGCAGCAUUGCAUUCACAACCAAAAUCUACAGUUGGAACUCCGGCCUAUAUCGCACCAGAAGUCUUAUCAAGAAAAGAAUAUGAUGGAAAGAUAGCAGAUGUUUGGUCUUG
rnacentral:misc_RNA from 1 species